AUGCAGAAAGGGUGCUGGCUUGCUUUUAUCACAUCAAAGCCUGAUAACAGCAAUUCUGUGCUUACCAACCUCCCUCAUGAGCGUAUACAGCAUCCACAGAUGCCUUUGAAGACUUCUGCUGAGGAUCAUGGACCAUGUCCUAGUUCUCUAAUCCUGCAAGGAGAUAACAGUCCCACAAUGGAGGAAAUGGGCAAAAGUGAUGGAAUCAGUGAGCUGAAACAUCUGCACAUCACCAGCAGCUGCCACUGCCCUCAAGGAAAUCUUCCAGAGAAGUCCUUUGAAGGCAAAUUGCUUACCCAAAAAAGCACUUGGAUAAGUGAAGGAUACAGGAGAGUAGAAGAGAGAUCCCAAGAUAUAUUAUGGCCUGCAGAGGACAGUGGUUAUUUACAAGUAUCUCUAGAGCAGCUGUAG
rnacentral:lncRNA from 1 species